UCCUUGGCUGGCUGUUCCUAAACCCUUAUGGCAGGGUGCUAAGCGGAAAAUUUUUAGUACGAAUAUCUUGCAAACCAAAUGAGUUGAUAAAAGCUUAUCACAAAUAUUAUAUUUAAAAAACAUGGAAACAACAAAAUGCCUGUCAUUACUAGAUUUUUUAAACAAUCCGACGCCGUCGCCUGCUACACUGUUUAUUUGGAUCAUCAUCCUACAAAAAAAGUCAUCCCAUCCCAUUAAUUGUAACGUUGCUAGGUGAACGGUGAUUGGUCCGAGUUUACUGACGUCUUAAUUGUUUAUCCGGCAUACACGUUUCAUCGUUUCAGUCCUGUGUUGUAGAAGAGAACGUGACUGAAAGUAAUAAUUAUUAUUAUUGCGUGACCCCAAAAAGUGAACAGGAUUAUGAUAUUAUUAGUAUCACUGAGAGGUGCGUGAUGGACAUAAUAACUUUAAGAUUGUUUUCCUUUUGCGCUGAUGACGGGUAAUCAUUUUGUUCUGGACGUUCAACUUUACUGAUAAUUAAAUAAUUAUUUUUAUCUAUCCUCUCUGGUGUCAAUAAUUGUGAUGCUAUAAUCGUAAUUUGAAGUAAUGUUUUUUUAUUUUUGUUGUUUUUGUUAUAUUAGAGUAACGAGUAUUUUAUAUAAGAGUAGUUUUUGAGUCACCUUUUUUGUUAAGGAAAGAAAUAAAAUAUUUUCAAAAUAA